GACGAACGCUGGCGGCGUGCCUAAUACAUGCAAGUCGAACGCUUUUUCUUUCACCGAGACUUGUCUCACCGAAAGAAAAAGAGUGGCGAACGGGUGAGUAACACGUGGGUAACCUGCCCUCGAGAAGGGGAUAACACUUGGAAACAGGUGCUAAUACCGUAUAACAAUAACUGCCGCAUGGCAGGUAUUUGAGAGGCGCUUUUGCGUCACUCGAGGAUGGACCCGCGGUGCAUUAGCUAGUUGGUGAGGUAACGGCUCACCAAGGCGACGAUGCAUAGCCGACCUGAGAGGGUGAUCGGCCACACUGGGACUGAGACACGGCCCAGACUCCUACGGGAGGCAGCAGUAGGAAAUCUUCGGCAAUGGACGAAAGUCUGACCGAGCAACGCCGCGUGAGUGAAGAAGGUUUUCGGAUCGUAAAACUCUGUUGUUAGAGAAGAACAAGGAUGAGAGUAGAACGUUCAUCCCUUGACGGUAUCUAACCAGAAAGCCACGGCUAACUACGUGCCAGCAGCUGCGGUAAUACGUAGGUGGCAAGCGUUGUCCGGAUUUAUUGGGCGUAAAGCGAGCGCAGGCGGUUCUUUAAGUCUGAUGUGAAAGCCCCCGGCUCAACCGGGGAGGGUCAUUGGAAACUGGAGAACUUGAGUGCAGAAGAGGAGAGUGGAAUUCCAUGUGUAGCGGUGAAAUGCGUAGAUAUAUGGAGGAACACCAGUGGCGAAGGCGGCUCUCUGGUCUGUAACUGACGCUGAGGCUCGAAAGCGUGGGGAGCAAACAGG
rnacentral:rRNA from 1 species